rnacentral:rRNA from 1 species
GACAGAGGAGCCAAGCGUUGUCCGGAUUGACUGGGCGUAAAGCGCACGCAGGCGGUUGCGCGCGUGGGGUGUGAAAGCUGGUGGCUUAACUGCCAGAUGCCAUCCCAUACGGCGCGACUCGAGCCCGUGAGAGGUCCACGGAAUUGCCGGUGUAGUGGUGAAAUGCGCAGAUAUCAGGAGGAACACCGGUGGCGAAGGCGGGUCUCUGGGCCGAUACUGACGCUGAGGAGCGAAAGCGUGGGGAGCGAACAGG